rfam:Triticum aestivum genome assembly, contig: Triticum_aestivum_CS42_TGACv1_scaffold_000422_1AL
AUUAUACUCUCUCCGUUCAGAAAUACUUGUCAUCAAAAUGGAUAAAAAAAGAUGUAUCUAGAUGUAUUGUAGCUCUAGAUACAUCCCCUUUUAUCCAUUUUGAAUACAUUUUCUUUUAUCCAUUUUAAUGACAAGUAUUUUCAGACGGAGGGAGUAUAAC